ensembl:lncRNA
GGUGACUGGGUUCAAAGACAGCACUGCAAAUGCUUCUCAGCUUCCAGCAGCUGAGGUCUGUAAAUACAAAUUCCAUUUUCUGGACACAGACUGCUUUGAGCUUUUCCUCCAGCACUGCCAUCUCAUCUCAUUAUUCUGUCCUGGAGCCUCCUUGCUCUCUGGGGGAGAGCUGCAAACUUCCCCUCCUCAGACCUUCCAGAGGAGGCUCAGAGGUCUCUUCUUGUGCCCUAAAUCUCUGCUCAUCCCAAAGCAAUAGGAUUAGGUUGUAGCUGUUGGCAUGGCAUUGGCUUUCACUGUGGACAGAGAGAAUUUCAGUUUACUGGGAUGGAAAUGACUGUGGAAGUUCCCUGCUUUUAUGCUGGGAACUGAUCCAAAGCUCACUGAAUCACAAAGAAAGAAUCCCAUCCAUGUCAGUGGAGUUUGCAUCAAUCCUGAAAUGUCAACAGAUGACCACUAAGUUACAGGGCUGCAAAAAUUCUAGCCUACAUCCAUCCUGGUCAUGGAAGGAGACAACUGAUGGUUGCUCCAGGGCUCCCGGAUGACAGCUGCCUUGACAAUGGCCAGAUGAGCAAGCAAGGAUACCAGAAGUGAAGCUGUGUGCAUCUCUUGCCUCUGUAAGGGUAAAAGGAACUCUUGGUCACAUCCCAACCAUGGAAAUAUCUCAAUAGUUUCAGUGUAUGAGAGAUAGAUACAAUAACAAAUAGAACAGUGAUUUUUACACCUAUGCUACAUAAUCAUUUAGCCACUUCUUCAGUUGCACAACAGAACUUUGCACUCUUUUGGAGUUUUGUUCUGCAGAGUGAAGAACAAGAGCAGUAGCUUUCAAUUAUUUUACAGGCACUGCAAUGUGGCAGCAAUGGAUUGCAGACAAUCAUGAGCCGAGUUUGAAACAGACAGCUCUAGUGCCUACAACAGGAUAAAGUGGCACAGGGAGGUCAGCACUUUAAUGCCAAGUAGGUUGUAUUUUGCCUCCCAAGCAACAUGGUCACAUGUGGAACUCCACAUAACCAUGGCUUCAAGCAUCCAGCUUUGCUAGCUUAUAUACCACUUUGCUGCAAUGAAGAGAUAUGGAAGCUACAAAGGAGGCCUAGCAAGGAGCAUUUCAUAUGCAGGCUUGAGGAUACUUAAAUAGAGUUGACUUCAAAUUGUUCUUUUGGGGGAAAAAAAAAAAAAGACAACUAAAUCAGGAGAAAACAGGAUGUAUCUGAAUUGUUCUGACAAAUUCUUAAUGAUAAUUGAAAAUAUUUUAAGUUGAAACAACUCCUUUUCCUCUCCUGCUCCUUCAAGCUCUCUAAGGCUGUGUUUAGAAAACACUGAAGUCAAACUGACCAGUUGGUAAAUGGGGGGUUCUGAAAUUAGUGAGGCUGAACCUCAGCUGAAGUUGUCUAAGCCAUUGGUUGCUGGCUUUGAAUUUGUUCUCAUAAAGUUGCUCACAGCAGCGACACAUUUGGAAAUGCAGAGAUGACUUAAGAAAAGGGUUAUAAAAGACUUUACUAAUGAAUGUGUGUCACAACUGCUUUGGCUCUUGUUCCCAUAGCAUACUUCCAACAAAAUCAAAUGUAGAUUCCUAAGGGCAUAAGUUGGAAGUCAUCCUGCCUCAAAGAGCUUGGACCUCUCUCUUAAGUAGGACAGAACUCUGCUGAGACCUCACAGAAGUAUUGACUGCAAAUGACUGUGGGCAACAAUUUCAAAGAACCUUCAGAGAUUUACUUGUAUAGUUAUUGUCUCUUAAGAGAGAGUUAUUAGGUACAGUUGCUUUAUUCAUGAAUCUCAGAAUUAAUUUUAAUCCAGCAUUCUAAUAAGUGUUCAAGGCAUUUUACUUCAUCGUUUUCAGGUCUUGUCCCCUAGACAAAAAGGUCUAUUUUUAACUUGUACCACUUCAAUCAAGUUACAACCUGAAAUUAGUAAUACAACUCAACCUACUAACUGGUGCAUGGAAUAGUUAAGAGGUCACAGUAAAUGCCAGCAGCACUUUCUGUAAAACAAAUACACAACAAGCAAAGACAAGACCAGUCAGUAAAUAAAGGUGAGUUGAAAUCAACUUUGUUGGAAAGGAGAAGUGUUAUAAUGAAAUUACAGUGCUUUGUAAGACUUAAAGUGAUGUCCACCAUAAAAGAUAAAAUUAAUUUACUGGAAAUAAACUUGUGAAUAUGAGUACCAUUUUGUGAAAGGCCAAGUUCUGACAUUUAGUAAAGCUGUAAAAAUGUUUUUGAAAGCAGCCCUUCAUUGUGAUUAUCACUGUUCUUAUGCAUUAAAAUUGAAAGAACUAAGAAAGACCAAAAAGGACUGAAAGAGUAAAAUAUUUUGCAAUUUCGAAGUAUUUGAUACAUUGAAGCUUUAAGAUGUUUUAAUACUCCUUGCUCUGCAAACAUGCUUCAGUUUGUUAAUAAAGAAAUGUUCUGAUACAAAGCAUCCACGAGGAUUAACAUGCAAAUAAAAUGCAUAUGACAAAU